rnacentral:rRNA from 1 species
CCUACGGGAGGCAGCAGUGAGGAAUCUUGGUCAAUGGACGAGAGUCUGAACCAGCCAAGUAGCGUGAAGGAUGACUGCCCUAUGGGUUGUAAACUUCUUUUAUAUGGGAAUAAAAUGUUCCACGUGUGGGAUUUUGUAUGUACCCUAUGAAUAAGGAUCGGCUAACUCCGUGCCAGCAGCCGCGGUAAUACGGAGGAUCCGAGCGUUAUCCGGAUUUAUUGGGUUUAAAGGGAGCGUAGGUGGAUUGUUAAGUCCGUUGUGAAAGUUUGCGGCUCAACCGUAAAAUUGCAGUUGAAACUGGCAGUCUUGAGUACAGUAGAGGUGGGCGGAAUUCGUGGUGUAGCGGUGAAAUGCUUAGAUAUCACGAAGAACUCCGAUUGCGAAGGCAGUUCACUGGACUGCAACUGACACUGAGGCUCGAAAGUGUGGGUAUCAAACAGGAUUAGAUACCCCUGUAGUC